rnacentral:rRNA from 1 species
UAUCCGGAUCAGGGACCCUCUGUGGUGGGUAGUUUGACUGGGGCGGUCGCCUCCUAAAAGGUAACGGAGGCGUACAAAGGUUUCCUCAAAUCGGUCAGACAUCGAUUGUAGAGCGUAAAGGCAUAUGGAAGCUUAACUGCGAGACCUACAAGUCGAGCAGAGACGAAAGUCGGUCUUAGUGAUCUGGCGGUAUUACGUGGAAAAGCCGCCACUCAACGGAUAAAAGUUACUCU